rnacentral:rRNA from 1 species
UACGUAGGGUGCGAGCGUUGUCCGGAAUCACUGGGCGUAAAGCGCACGCAGGCGGUUCGCCAAGUUUGGAGUGACAGUUGUCGGCUCAACCGACAAAGGACUUCAAAAACUGGUGAACUUGAGGACGAGAGAGGAACAUGGAACUCCAGGUGUAGUAGUGAAAUGCGUAGAUAUCUGGAAGAACACCAAUGGCGAAGGCAAUGUUCUGGCUCGUUUCUGACGCUCAGGUGCGAAAGCCAGGGGAGCGAACGGG